GCAGAAGCAGCAGCAGCGUUCCUGACGGACCCCGGGGGGGUGAGGGUGAGGUUCUAGGGGGCGAACGUGCGACGGUGGACUUCACCCGGAGAGGAGGCGAGGACUCACCGCGCGCCACGACUCACAGAUGGAGACCAUCGCGAGGAGCUUGACGGCGACUCGGGGCACGGCGCAAGGCGAGUACAGCGCCUCCAGCGAGUACUGCCCCAUCGACAGGAACACCACGGCCAUGAUCGACGGCCUGCGGGAGACGGGCGAGGGUCACGUUUCUGCGCACGUUACCGACGCGCGGCAGCGAGAACACAACGAUGUCUGGCCCUGUGUGUAGUAACGUCAGGGAGAGGAAGCCGCAGGCCAGCCACACGAGCAGCGCCCACCCGACGGAGCCCGCGUGGCGCAGCACGCCGGACGGGGAGAUGAAGAUGCCGCUGCCGAUGAUCAUCCCGAC